GGGCAUGUGGUGUACCUGGUUAACACAUUCGCACAAUAUAGACAUCUUUCUCGUCUGCUUUAUAAUGUUACUAUCUGCGAAAAGCAUGCGGUUCGAGUCCGGACGUGUCCC